GCUGGGUAUAGUGGUACAUGCCUGUAAUCCCAGCAGCUCAGGAGGCUGAGACAGGAGGAUUGUGAGAUCAAAGCCAGCCUCAGCAAAAGCGAGGCACUAAGCAACUCAGUGAGACCCUGUCUCUA
rnacentral:sRNA from 1 species